UAGGGAAUAUUGGACAAUGGGUGAGAGCCUGAUCCAGCCAUGCCGCGUGCAGGAAGAAGGCGUUAUGCGUUGUAAACUGCUUUUUGCCAGGGGAUAAAAAGACCGUGCGCGGUUAAUUGAAGGUACCUGGUGAAUAAGUCACGGCUAACUACGUGCCAGCAGCCGCGGUAAUACGUAGGUGGCAAGCGUUGUCCGGAUUUAUUGGGUUUAAAGGGUGCGUAGGUGGCCCUGUAAGUCAGUGGUGAAAUAUCUCAGCUUAACUGAGAGGGUGCCAUUGAUACUGCAGGGCUUGAGUACAGAUGAGGUAGGCGGAAUUGACGGUGUAGCGGUGAAAUGCAUAGAUAUCGUCAAGAACACCGAUAGCGAAGGCAGCUUACCAAGCUGUAACUGACACUGAGGCACGAAAGUGUGGGGAUCAAACAGGAUUAGAUACCCAAGUAGUCCCUGAGCGGGCUGGCAAGGCGCAU
rnacentral:rRNA from 1 species